rnacentral:misc_RNA from 1 species
CGCACAUUGCGCCCUUUGGUAUUCCAUGGGGCAUGCCUGUUCGAGCGUCAUUUCCACCCUCAAGCCUAGCUUGGUCUUGGGAGAAGCCUCUCUCUGGGCACUCCUGUAACCCGUUGGCAGAGCUGUCUGGCUCCAAGCGUAGCAAAACCUCGCUUUGUUGUCAUGUAGAUUCUAGCCUAGGAACUUUUUUAAACUUUAGACCUCGGAUCAGGUAGGGAUACCCGCUGAACUUAA